rnacentral:rRNA from 1 species
AUACGUAGGUGACAAGCGUUAUCCGGAUUUACUGGGCGUAAAGGGCGUGUAGGCGGUCUUGCAAGUCGGAAGUGAAAUUCCUGAGCUCAACUCGGGCGCUGCUUCUGAAACUGCAGGACUUGAGUGCUGGAGGGGAUAGCGGAAUUCCUAGUGGAGCGGUAAAAUGCGCAGAUAUUAGGAAGAACACCGGUGGCGAAGGCGGCUAUCUGGACAGUAACUGACGCUGAGGCGCGAAAGCGUGGGGAGCAAACAGGAUUAGAUACCCUGGUAUUCCACGCCGUAAACGAUGAAUACUAGGUGUAGGGGGUAUCGACUCCCUCUGUGCCGCAGUUAACACAAUAAGUAUUCCGCCUGGGGAGUACGGCCGCAAGGUUGAAACUUAAAGGAAUUGACGGGG